CCUACGGGUGGCAGCAGUGGGGAAUAUUGCACAAUGGGGGAAACCCUGAUGCAGCGACGCCGCGUGAGUGAAGACGUAAUUCGUUAUGUAAAGCUCUAUCAGCAGGGAAGAAAAUGACGGUACCUGAGUAAGAAGCCACGGCUAACUACGAGCCAGCAGCCGCGGUAAUACGUAGGGGGCAAGCGUUAUCCGGAUUUACUGGGUGUAAAGGGAGCGUAGGCGGUAGUGCAAGUCUGGAGUGAAAGGCGGGGGCUCAACCCCGGGACUGCUCUGGAAACUGUACGGCUGGAGUGCGGGGGAGGUAGGUGGAAUUCCUAGUGUAGCGGUGAAAUGCGUAGAUAUUAGGAAGAACCCCAGUGGCGAAGGCAGCUUGCUGGAGUGUAACUGACGUUGAGGCUCGAAAGCGUGGGGAGCGAACAGGAUUAGAUACCCUGGUAGUC
rnacentral:rRNA from 1 species